GAUGAACGCUGGCGGCGUGCCUAAUACAUGCGAGUCGAGCGAACGGACGAGAAGCUUGCUUCUCUGAUGUUAGCGGCGGACGGGUGAGUAACACGUGGAUAACCUACCUAUAAGACUGGGAUAACUUCGGGAAACCGGAGCUAAUACCGGAUAAUAUUUUGAACCGCAUGGUUCAAAAGUGAAAGACGGUCUUGCUGUCACUUAUAGAUGGAUCCGCGCUGCAUUAGCUAGUUGGUAAGGUAACGGCUUACCAAGGCAACGAUGCAUAGCCGACCUGAGAGGGUGAUCGGCCACACUGGAACUGAGACACGGUCCAGACUCCUACGGGAGGCAGAAGUAGGGAAUCUUCCGCAAUGGGCGAAAGCCUGACGGAGCAACGCCGCGUGAGUGAUGAAGGUCUUCGGAUCGUAAAACUCUGUUAUUAGGGAAGAACAUAUGUGUAAGUAACUGUGCACAUCUUGACGGUACCUAAUCAAAAAGCCACGGCUAACUACGUG
rnacentral:rRNA from 1 species